UACAGAGGGGGCAAGCGUUGUUCGGACUUACUGGGCGUAAAGGGCGCGUAGGCGGCCUUCUAAGUCGAAUGUGAAAUCCCCGGGCUCAACCCGGGAACUGCGUCCGAUACUGGAAGGCUUGAAUCCGGGAGAGGGGUGCGGAAUUCCAGGUGUAGCGGUGAAAUGCGUAGAUAUCUGGAGGAACACCGGUGGCGAAGGCGGCAUCCUGGACCGGCAUUGACGCUGAGGCGCGAAAGCCAGGGGAGCAAACGGG
rnacentral:rRNA from 1 species